GCGCUUGUAGCUCAGUUGGAUAGAGCGUUGCCUUCCGGAGGCAAAGGCCGUAGGUUCGAAUCCCUCCAAGCGCA
rnacentral:tRNA from 1 species